rnacentral:sRNA from 1 species
UUGACAGCUUGGAAACUCAAGUCCUCUAUUCACGGAGCAGCUCCGGAGCGGCCAGCGGCAGCAAAACUCCCUCGCGCUGCUCCUCAACCUUGACCUGGAGGAAUCACCUCUAGGGGCGAGACUGCCCUUGGCUGAUAUCCCCAUUCAUCCUUUGGCCUCU